CCUACGGGAGGCAGCAGUGGGGAAUAUUGGACAAUGGGCGAAAGCCUGAUCCAGCCAUGUCGCGUGUGUGAAGAAGGCCUUCGGGUUGUAAAGCACUUUCAGUGGGGAAGAAAGCCUUGGGGCUAAUACCCUCGAGGAAGGACAUCACCCACAGAAGAAGCACCGGCUAACUCCGCGCCAGCAGCCGCGGUAAUACGGAGGGUGCGAGCGUUAAUCGGAAUUACUGGGCGUAAAGCGCGCGUAGGCGGUCUGAUAAGCCGGUUGUGAAAGCCCCGGGCUCAACCUGGGAACGGCAUCCGGAACUGUCAGGCUAGAGUGCAGGAGAGGAAGGUAGAAUUCCCGGUGUAGCGGUGAAAUGCGUAGAGAUCGGGAGGAAUACCAGUGGCGAAGGCGGCCUUCUGGACUGACACUGACGCUGAGGUGCGAAAGCGUGGGUAGCAAACAGGAUUAGAUACCCCGGUAGUC
rnacentral:rRNA from 1 species